rnacentral:rRNA from 1 species
UACGGGGGGGGCAAGCGUUGUUCGGAAUUACUGGGCGUAAAGGGCUCGUAGGCGGCCAACUAAGUCAGACGUGAAAUCCCUCAGCUUAACUGGGGAACUGCGUCUGAUACUGGAUGGCUUGAGUUUGGGAGAGGGACGCGGAAUUCCAGGUGUAGCGGUGAAAUGCGUAGAUAUCUGGAGGAACACCGGUGGCGAAGGCGGCGUCCUGGACCAACACUGACACUGAUGAGCGAAAGCCAGGGGAGCAAACGGG